rnacentral:ncRNA from 1 species
AGCGAUACUGACGUGCAAAUCGUUCGUCUGACUUGGGUAUAGGGGCGAAAGACUAAUCGAACCAUCUAGUAGCUGGUUCCCUCCGAAGUUUCCCUCAGGAUAGCUGAGGCCCAUUACGAGUUCUAUCAGGUAAAGCCAAUGAUUAGAGGCAUUGGGGACGCAACGUCCUCGACCUAUUCUCAAACUUUAAAUAGGUAGGAUGGCUCGGCUG